rnacentral:rRNA from 1 species
UACGAAGGGGGCUAGCGUUGCUCGGAAUUACUGGGCGUAAAGGGCGCGUAGGCGGGUCACUAAGUUGGGGGUGAAAGCCCAGGGCUCAACCCUGGAAUUGCCCUCAAUACUGGUGACCUUGAGUAUGGCAGAGGUGUGUGGAACUCCGAGUGUAGAGGUGAAAUUCGUAGAUAUUCGGAAGAACACCAGUGGCGAAGGCGACACACUGGGCCAUUACUGACGCUGAGGCGCGAAAGCGUGGGGAG